rnacentral:misc_RNA from 1 species
AACGCACAUUGCGCCCCCUAGCACUCUAGAGGGCAUGCCUGUCCGAGCGUCAUUUCAACCCUCAAGCGCUGUUUCGCUUGGAGUUGGGGCUCUUGCAGCCGAGCACUUUUUAGUGCUUUGCAAGCCCUGAAAUCUAGCGGCGGGCUCGCCGGCACACCGAGCGCAGUAAUUUAACUUCUCGCUCAGGGCGUUGCGGUGCAGCACAGCCGAUUUUUUGAAAACUUUCCAAAGUUGACCUCGGAUCAGGUAGGACUACCCGCUGAACUUAA